ACAGAGGGGGCAAGCGUUAUUCGGAAUUAUUGGGCGUAAAGGGCGCGUAGGCGGCCUGGCAAGUGGAAGGUGAAAUCCCUCGGCUUAACCGAGGAACUGCCUUCCAGACUGUUAGGCUUGAGACCGGGAGAGGUGAGUGGAAUUCCCAGUGUAGCGGUGAAAUGCGUAGAUAUUGGGAGGAACACCAGUGGCGAAGGCGGCUCACUGGACCGGUACUGACGCUGAGGCGCGAAAGCGUGGGGAGCAAACGGGAUUAGAUACCCCGGUAGUCCACGCCGUAAACGAUGAGUGCUUGGUGUAGCGGGUAUCGACCCCUGCUGUGCCGAAGUCAACACAUUAAGCACUCCGCCUGGGGAGUACGGUCGCAAGGCUG
rnacentral:rRNA from 1 species